CCUACGGGAGGCUGCAGUGGGGAAUAUUGCGCAAUGGGCGAAAGCCUGACGCAGCGACGCCGCGUGAGGGAUGAAGGUCUUCGGAUCGUAAACCUCUGUCAGCAGGGAAGAACGGUCACUGUGCUAAUCAGCAGUGAAUUGACGGUACCUGCAAAGGAAGCACCGGCUAACUCCGUGCCAGCAGCCGCGGUAAUACGGAGGGUGCGAGCGUUAAUCGGAAUUACUGGGCGUAAAGCGCUCGUAGGCGGUAUGUCAAGUCAAGGGUGAAAUCCCCGCGCUCAACGUGGGAACUGCCUUUGAAACUGGCAAACUGGAGUGUGUGAGAGGAGAGUGGAAUUCCAGGUGUAGGAGUGAAAUGCGUAGAUAUCUGGAGGAACAUCAGUGGCGAAGGCGACUAUCUGGCACAUAACUGACGCUGAGGAGCGAAAGCGUGGGUAGCAAACAGGAUUAGAUACCCUAGUAGUC
rnacentral:rRNA from 1 species